rnacentral:rRNA from 1 species
AAUCAACGCUGGCGGCGUGCCUCAGACAUGCAAGUCGAACGAUUAAAGCUCCCUUCGGGGAGUGCAUAAAGUGGCGCACGGGUGAGUAACACGUAAGUAAUCUACCCUCGGGUGGGGAAUAACAUCGGGAAACCGAUGCUAAUACCGCAUAAUGCAGCGGCACCGCAAGGUGACAGUUGUUAAAGAUUUAUUGCCUGGGGAGGAGCUUGCGGCAGAUUAGCUUGUUGGUAAGGAACGGCUUACCAAGGCUACGAUCUGUAUCCGGUCUAAGAGGACGGUCGGACACACUGACACUGAAUAACGGGUCAGACUCCUACGGGAGGCAGCAGUC